rnacentral:rRNA from 1 species
AGUGAACGCUGGCGGUAGGCCUAACACAUGCAAGUCGAACGGCAGCACAGUAAGAGCUUGCUCUUACGGGUGGCGAGUGGCGGACGGGUGAGGAUUACAUCGGAAUCUACUUUUUCGUGGGGGAUAACGUAGGGAAACUUACGCUAAUACCGCAUACGACCUACGGGUGAAAGCAGGGGAUCUUCGGACCUUGCGCGAUUGAAUGAGCCGAUGUCGGAUUAGCUAGUUGGCGGGGUAAAGGCCCACCAAGGCGACGAUCCGUAGCUGGUCUGAGAGGAUGAUCAGCCACACUGGAACUGAGACACGGUCCAGACUCCUACGGGAGGCAGCAGUGGGGAAUAUUGGACAAUGGGCGCAAGCCUGAUCCAGCCAUACCGCGUGGGUGAAGAAGGCCUUCGGGUUGUAAAGCCCUUUUGUUGGGAAAGAAAAGCAGCAGGUUAAUACCCCGCUGUUCCGACGGUACCCAAAGAAUAAGCACCGGCUAACUUCGUG